UUUUAGUAUUGUCACCUCCUUUGUACCAGUCUUUUAAUGUUUCCAUCACAAAGAAACGGAUAGCUUGAUUGGAUCCUUGCUUCAAGAUUAUCCAGAGGUCAUAAUGGAAAGGAGCGAGCGUAAUUCUCCGUUAAAUCUUGGAAAAAAACACGAGGUGUCAAAGGUCGACGCGGAGGCCUCCGGCCUCCCUCCCCCUGUCCUCCUCCCAACGAGAGUAACUUACCGGCAAUGACCCCCUUGAGGCCCAGGUUGCCGGAGGCGACGGCGGCGGCGGCGACGCCGGUCUCGCUCGUCCACGGCCUGCGUGGAAACGGCGUCGAGAAGCCCCGACAUCCCAGAGUCGCC